rnacentral:misc_RNA from 1 species
GUUAGAGCGCGCGCUUGAUAAGCGUGAGGUCGGAAGUUCAAGUCUUCCCAGGCCCACCACACUCAUCGAGUGAGCAUUCGUCUUCUGGUUACGGGGCCAUAGCUCAGCUGGGAGAGCGCGUGCUUUGCAAGCAUGAGGUCGUCGGUUCGAUCCCGUCUGGCUCCACCAGAUGGUUUGAUCACCGACUACUCAUACCGUCGUCCGCGAAACAUCACUUCGCACUUACUAGUCUGGAUGGACAGUGAGCUGCGUGAUUUCUGACAUCGUAAAGAGGAGAUCGAUCCGAGUUGGAUCGGGCAACAAGCAAUUGUUGCGCGAUACUUCAUUAUCUCCGGAUCAUUUCGGCGCUCGUGCGUCUUCCAGGGUAGCUCACAAGGCUGCAUCUGAAGGACAAGCGAGUUGUAAAUGAUCCUUUUAGCGAAGCUUGACCGCCUCGCUAUCGGAACGAUCUUACGAAGCAAGCUGGUCUUUCUAAUCAUUGUCCGGCUGCAGAUAGCGUUCAUCGAGGGCGCGUGCCUUAGAGACUUAGGUUUCUUGGCGAUUCUGCAGACAACAUUCUGCCGAGUGUGUGGACAUUGAUAAUGAGAGCAAUCAAGUGCCUUAAGGGUGUUCGGUGGAUGCCUUGGCGCUGAGAGGCGAUGAAGGACGUGCUACGCUGCGAUAAGCCGUGGGGAGCUGCGAAGAAGCUUUGAUCCAUGGAUUUCC